rnacentral:rRNA from 1 species
CCGCGUGUGUGAAGAAGGUCUUCGGAUUGUAAAGCACUUUAAGUUGGGAGGAAGGGCAGUAANNUAAUACUUUNNUGUUUUGACGUUACCGACAGAAUAAGCACCGGCUAACUCUGUGCCAGCAGCCGCGGUAAUACAGAGGGUGCAAGCGUUAAUCGGAAUUACUGGGCGUAAAGCGCGCGUAGGUGGUUAGUUAAGUUGGAUGUGAAAUCCCCGGGCUCAACCUGGGAACUGCAUUCAAAACUGACUGACUAGAGUAUGGUAGAGGGUGGUGGAAUUUCCUGUGUAGC